rnacentral:rRNA from 1 species
AGAGAAUAGAUACCCCGGUAGUCCCAGCCGUAAACGAUGCUCGCUAGGUGUCAGGCAUGGCGCGACCGUGUCUGGUGCCGCAGGGAAGCCGUGAAGCGAGCCACCUGGGAAGUACGGCCGCAAGGCUGAAACUUAAGGGAAUUGGCGGGGGAGCACAACAACGGGUGGAGCCUGCGGUUUAAUUGGACUCAACGCCGGACAACUCACCGGGGGCGACAGCAAUAUGUAGGCCAAGCUGAAGACUUUGCCUGAAUCGCUGAGAGGAGGUGCAUGGCCGUCGCCAGUUCGUACUGUGAAGCAUCCUGUUAAGUCAGGCGACGAGCGAGACCCGUGCCCACUGUUACCAGCAUGUCCUCCGGGACGAUGGGUACUCUGUGGGGACCGCCUAUGUUAAAUAGGAGGAAGGUGCGGGCCACGGUAGGUCAGUAUGCCCCGAAUCUCCCGGGCUACACGCGGGCUACAAUGGAUGGGACAAUGGGUCCCUACUCCGAAAGGAGCUGGUAAUCUCACAAACCCAUUCGUAGUUCGGAUCGAGGGCU